CAGCGAGGAAACCUUGGAAGUGGGCCAUCUUCCCAGCCAGCUGGAAGCAUCAAUGGCAGAAGUUGAAAGAAGAUUACCUGUCGAAGAAAGUCCUUCGUGCUUAAUGCAACUGCCUCUCCUGAGGAAACAAACUGAGAAAUCUCAGACAGUUGAGAGCUGCUGUUGACAGACUGGUAACAGGCAAACAUGCUGAUGACCUACAACUGACGGUGAAGCUAAGUUUCCCAGAACAAGGCUUUUCCUAUUAUUUAGCUCCCAAUUGGACAACAAGCUGCUUAUCCUGAAUAAAAUCCAAUAUUUAC